AUAGUCCAAGAAGUGCAGGGAAGUCCAUUUAGAACCGCAGGAACAGUGCUCGGGAAGGCUGCUGGGGCAGAAAUCACUGGCGGCGCGUCUUCCCACGCGCCCCGCCACUGGCGGCGCGUGGGUGCACGCGCCACCGUGAGAAGGAGCUGGAAAACAGCUGGUCCAGACAGCUUCUUCUUCUCCUGUCUUCCUAAACCAUCGGUGAUCUGCAGAACAAGGAAAUAAACACACAGCAGUCGAUUUUAGUUUUUUUUCUUUGAUUUCAAAUCUGUUUUUGUUCCUUUUUUAGAUCUGCAUCGUUUUCGAUCUGCUCCUCUUUCUCUUCUUCUUCGUUGCAGAUCAGUCCGUGGGUUUCUUCUUCUUCUGGCCGACCUGCUGUGGAGUGAGGAGUGGUUGUCCGGUCGGUGGGGGAUCGCCUGCUGCUGUGUGGCUCGGUGGAAGCCGGUUCUGUGGAGCUGGGUCUGCUGGAUCUUUGGACGGCGCUACUGCGGAGACGCCGCUGGUUCGCCCAAAUGACGGGCGGCGGAGGCGGUGGAGAUCGUGGCCGAGAGAGAGAAGCCAGGAGGCGCCGGGCCUGUGAAGGAAGAAAUCUCUGGUGAACGGUGAGAGGAGAGCUGGCGUUGGGAGAAGUGGGGAGGAGAAGAAGAGCUGGGAUGGCUGCGUGGUCUGAAAAAAUCAGAACCAAGGGGAAAAAAAAA
rnacentral:lncRNA from 1 species